rnacentral:rRNA from 1 species
AGUGAACGCUGGCGGUAGGCCUAACACAUGCAAGUCGAACGGCAGCACAGUAAGAGCUUGCUCUUACGGGUGGCGAGUGGCGGACGGGUGAGGAAUACAUCGGAAUCUACUUUUUCGUGGGGGAUAACGUAGGGAAACUUACGCUAAUACCGCAUACGACCUACGGGUGAAAGCAGGGGAUCUUCGGACCUUGCGCGAUUGAAUGGGCCGAUGUCGGAUUAGCUAGUUGGCGGGGUAAAGGCCCACCGAGGCGACGAUCCGUAGCUGGUCGGAGAGGAUGGCCGGCCAGGGUGGGACAGAGAUACGGACCAGACGGCGACGGGAGACAGCAGUGGGGAAUAUUGCACAAUGGGCUGAAGGCAGAAGCAGCAACGCCGCGGGCGGGAUGACGGCCUUCGGGUUGCAAACCGCGUUCGCCUGUGACGAAGCGUGAGUGAAGGUAAUGGGUAAAGAAGCAACGGCUAGCUACGAG